GGGAAGGAGGGGUGUGGCCUAGACCACUAAGGGCCGUGACGUGGUGCCGCUGAGCUUGGACCCCGACCAGAAGAUAGAGAUUGAAACGAUGAGGAAAACGAAGUGCCUAAUCCCCGCUGGACGCUAACUGCAGGGCAAGCUCCCCAGUGUUGUAGUUGUGUUUCGGAGGCCGAGAACCGCUAUCGGGCUUCCUCGGACUCUGGCCCUGGAGGGGGGAAACGGCGAGGGAGAAGGCGAAACGAGUCUCCAGUGUGUUCUUGGGGCCUGGUGCGAGGCCCAGAGAAUUCUCUGCAGGCCUUUGCCCGGGCACUGAUUAAGGCUGCGAAGAGACGCACCGGGCUGCGGGCUUAGUAGCUUCAGGCUUCUGAAGUCAGAGGGAGGGCUGAGAGCUUACACUUCUGGAGCUCCCCGGGAGACGGCAACUACCCAACCGUGUGGGUGUGUUUGUCACCCAGAAAUACUCUCCACACCAUGCUGCACUGCUGCGGAUGAGGGAAGGAUGGUGUCGGGGCUUCAAGACUGUUUUUCCUACCUCUUCAGUGCCUCUUUCAGUGAUAUGAAGUUAAAACCAGGAACAUGGAGGAGACAUAUUUCCACCUAUUUCUCUCCAUAAGUAUAAAAGACCAUAAAAGACCAUCUAGGGACUUCAGAACCCAAAUAAUGACACAAUGUUAAUUUGCAGGUUCUCCCUCUGCCUGCCACCCCACCCAGCAAGGAGGAGAGGAAGUGUUGAGAAGGGAAGAGAUGAGUCCUGGCCCUGUCACUUCUUAGGGGUGUGCUUUUGAACAACCUGCUCACCAUGUAUGAACUUCACUCUUCUUGUUUAUAAAAUGAGGACAAUGACACCUGCAAGACUGUGAGGUUUAAAAACAAAAUCUGUGUUGAGAGGUAACUUGCCUCUUUUACUUACCAAUGAUUUCCUCAAUGCCUGGUGACUGGGGCUGGUUCAUACUAGACGAUCAAUAAAUGCUCCUUGAAUGAAUAGGUGGAUGAAAGAAAUGUCUGGCAUCUAUCACAGGUGCUGGCACUGAUAAGUGCUUGAUAAAUAGGCUGGCUGACUGUGAGUGAUGCUGACGGGCAAAGGACAGAGACACCAGGAAGGAGAACAGGACACGAAAGAUAACUGUCUCAGCCCUUGGGGAGUUUCUGACCCAGGAGGAUGGGAACAUCAAUUAUCAAUAGUUACAGAUCAUUAAAUAAUUGCAAGUGUGAGGCGCACUAUAAAGAGGAGGCUCAGAGUCCCCGCAUGCUCACACUCACACCUGGCCACAGACAGGUGACACCCCUGGCUUGCCCAGGCCAGCGGGUCUGCAAUGAGGCCAAGGACCUGGGCUCUUGAGAAGUUUUAAGUUUGAAAACAUUGCUUUUUAAGCUUAAAACAAUGAACCUUAAUAAAAGUAAACACUUCCAUUGAGCUUUGAAACACUUAAUAGGAGUUAAAAGUAAUUAGGCUAAUAAAAUAGUCUUUUGUUCCAAUUCAAUAAGUGCUUUCUUUUAUUAACUUCAUUGUCCUUUAAGAUUGGGAUUAAGGUUUGUCUGCAUUUGGAAAAGGUCACAUUUGCCCAAAGACUGAUGGGUGAUAACAGUAAGGCAGCCCCCUGCACAGGGAGAGGCCAGUAAGAGCCUGGGCUCCAUGAAACUGCAUUUCAACUCCAACCCUGAUGUCCUGCCUGUCUCCUGGGCAUGUUUAUCUUACACUGCUAAGCAUCAGUCUCAUUUGUACAGUGAGAAUAAUAUCACUGUGUAAGGUUGUAUUGAGAAUUAAGAGAGCUCACGUAUGCCUGUAAAGUACCUGGCAUACCGCAGGGUACAAGGAGGGCGUUGUUAGCUGUGAUGGCCCCUUUCCUUCUUCCCUUUACUUCAGAGGUGACCUCUCCAAAUCACAUUUAGUCCUUAAACCUCAGGUCAGGCGAUAGUGCUGAUGGGCAACCCUCCCACCCAGGUUUGGCUGCAAGUCACUCCUCUGGGCUCCUCUGGGCUCCUACAGCCUCCCGCAUGGUCCCUCUCAUGCAUCCUUGUGAUGGUCUGACCAGGAGCUUCUUGAGGACAGGGGUUGGGGCCACUUGCCUGCGUGCUUCUCCAUGCCCAUUUGCUAUCAGAUGCCUUCCCCUUUCUGCUCUGCACUGCGGGGAACUACAUUUUCCAGGCUCCCUGGGCAGUGGCAGGCUUCCGGCUAGUUUCUACCAAGGGGAGCGCUGAUGGGAGAUGAAAAAGUGGGAAAAAAGGAGAAGCCAGGAUGCUUCUCUGUCUCGUCUUCCUUUUUCUCUUUCAGGGGUUUUUGGUAGUGGCUGUGUCUCCCUGAUAGCUCCUCUCUAUGAUCCAGCCCUGCUUGGCAGCCCUGGCUUCUGGGUUCUGAAAACACCACGUUCCUCCUUGUGUCCCUCUAUCUAGUAAUUGGCAGCUUUCUGAUGUUGCUAAGUUCUGACUUGCUUCACCAUCUCCUAUUUGGCUCCUCAGCUUUUCCAUCUUCUGUGUAACCUGUUCCCCGUACUAAAUUUCCUCUGUGUGAAAUGCCUAGCAUGGUUUCUGUUUCCGUGGUGGGACUCAGACGGAUACAUUCUGUGUCCCUAAGCCUCUGACACAGCACCUGACCCAUGAUAGGAUCUCAGGAAGCUCUUUUUUGGCUGAGUACAUUUCCCAUUGUAAUAUUCCCCAAAGGUGGGAUUUUGUUCAUCUUUUUACAGGCUUUCCUCUGGCCCUCCCUUGCUUUCUGUAGCUUUAGCAGGCCAGAAGCAUGAGGAGCAAUUAAAGUGAGCACCAGCCCCAGAAAAGUAGUGAUCAAAUGUUUAAAGUUCUUGAAAAUUCUGUCUAGUUCAUUUCUAUUUCAUUUUCUUAAGCCCCAGAUUCUAAUUGUAUCUGUCUACACAACAAGUGUAAUCAGGGAGCCAAAAUUAAAUUUCCCCAAUCCCUGCCCUUCUAAUCAAUCACAAAUCACGAAUGAAAAGAGCAGAUUCAAGUGGAAGAAUCAGCUCCAGGAGGCCAGUCUUUCCAUUAGCUCUGUUAGGCUCUCCACAGAGGUGGGACCUAUCUCUCCCCACCCACUCCGCCCCAGCAGGGGAAAAUGCAAACAAGUCACUUUUGAUGACCACCUGUCUGCAGUGGUAUUGGUCUCAAAGGAGACCUAAAGUGAAUGCCAAUUUCAGAAAAAUAAAGUUUGGGGAUAUGGUUUGGAUGUUUGUCCCCACCACCCCCACCCCACCAAUUUCAUGUUGAAGUGUGAUUCCCAAUGUUGGAUGUAGGUUCUGGUGGGAGGUGAUUGGAUCAUGGUGAUGGAUUCAUUAUGAAUGGUUUAGUGCCAUCCCCUUGGUGAUAAUGAGUUCUCACUUGGUUAGUUUUUGUGAGAUCUGGUUGUUUAAAAGAGCCCAGAACCUCCACCUGACUGUUUCUUGCUCUCUUUCUUGCCAUGUGACAUCACUGGCUCCCCCUUUGCCUUGUGCAAUGAUUAUAACCUUCCUGAGGCCCUUAUUGGAGGUAGAUGCCAGAGCCAUACUCGUACAGCCUGCACAACUGUGAGUCAAUUAAACCUCUUUUCUUUAUAAAUUACCCAGUCCCAGGUACUUAUAGCAAUGCAAAAACUAUCUAACACUCCUGGUUUCAAAUGAUUGGGAAGAAAUGGGAUUAGAGGUCUCUGAAGAUGCCAGGGCUCUGGAGAUUGCUGGGGGAAGGAUAGCCCUGUCCCUGUCAGGGGCCGCCUCCUGUGUGGAGGGCCUUAGGGCUCUGGAGAGAGAACCCCUGUGUUCAAAUUCUGCCUCUGCUACUUACCAAAUAUGGGACUUUGAGUAUUUCACCUGGUCUGAAUGGGCACCUACAUCCUAGUCCUGGAAACAGCUCAAAUAGGGACAGAGGAGGUGCUUAACAAAGGAUUAAGCCUACAACCUGGAUCUAUUCCUUGCCUUGAAGACCAGUUGAGGGCCCAGGAUGAGCCUCCUGUGGGUGCACUAGCUCUGCUUUAAUUGCCUAGUUCUAAAAUGAAUCUUCCUUUGCAUUGGAGAAAAAAACAACAGAGGCUACAGAAAGCCCCUGGGGUCUGUCUCAGCUGCUAUUGCUCUGACUGUGGUCUGUGAACCCUGGGUAGGCAAGACAUAGCUCCCACCUGUUCCUCUUUUCAUCUCUUGCUGGUGAGGAGCAGGUGUUCUUUCCAAGCUUCUCCUAUCUCUCUCCCCUCUUCUUACUUGUUCCAGUCUUUCUCCCUCCUCUUCCCUCUCCUCUUCUUUCUUCUUCCUUUGCCUUAUCCUCUUCCCUGCUUUCCUCUCUCCCAUUCUUUCCCCCUCCUCUGCUCUUUUCUCCUCUCUCUUUCUCUCCUCUCCCUUCCUCUUCCCUCUGCCUUCCUCUUCACUUCCCUUUCCUCCUACCCUUUCCCCUCCUUUCCCAUCUUCUCUCCUCCUCUACCCCCUCAUCCCUUCCUCUUCACCUCUCCCCUCUGUUUCCCUUCCUCUCCCUGCAACAUUCUCUCCUCUCCUCCUUCCUCCUUUCUCUUCUUCCUCAUUCUCCCCUCCUGUCCCUUCUGUAGCUCCCCUUAUCCCUUGUGGCAUCAGCAUCUCCCAGCCUCAAAACUGGCAGUCACUGUUUCAUCAGCUCUGGCCCCAGCCAAAACCUCCCUCCCUUCUCAGCCAGCAGCAGCUGCUGGACUCUUGAAGGGGGUAACAAUUAGUCAUUGGAGGGUGGCAGUGGUUGAGGGAGACAGAGCGUGCCAGCCUUUGCAGUCAUUGCUCUGUCACCUCAUGUACAACAGGCUUAACUCAACACGUGAUCUUCCCUUUGGCACCCCCCUCUCCCUCUGCCACUGCUGAGCUGUGUUGUGUGUAUUUGUCCUCCCUCGUCCCCACACCCACAACCAUCUUUAUGCCCUCACCUCCUCUGUGAGCUUUAUGCAGCCCUGCCUAGUGUGGCAGCUCCUUAAAGCACCUCUCUUGUUCUUCCCUUCCUUCCUGUGACCACUCCCUAUCCCUAAUAUGGGUCCCUCACUGCUUCUCCCCUGAAAUACUUGAUCCUGGGUUCCUCUCCCCACCUUCAUCUGUCCUGUCAACAAUGACUGGAGUGCAUUCCUGGUUCAUGUCCUCCUAGGGAUGAAAAAGAGUGACAUCUUUCCUCCCCACCACACUCCUAGAACAAAAGAUAGGUUAACAAGAGAAAAGCAUAACACAUUUAUUUAAUCAAGCUUUUAUGUGAUAUGGGAGACUUCAAAAAUGAAGACCCCAAGACCCAGGGGAAACUGUUUUUAUGCUUAGGUUUGAUGAAGAGUGGACAGCCAUGUACUCUUUUUGUAUUGGACAAAAGGGGUAUAAUCCAGUAGUAAUAGACUGAAUGGGAAAACCCAGCAAGGCCUGUCUGUUCAGAUUCUUCUUGGCCUCUCUGUUGUAGCAUUUCUUCCUUCUGGGUAUGAUGCAGGACCCCUCUGCAAUGAGGGCCUUAGGAUCUAAUAUCAGAUAAGGGUAGGUCAGAGAAUUUCUUUUUGGCCACCUCCUAGACAGAAGGGGAUGGGGAGGUCAGAGUAGUAUUUCCAGGGUUCAUGGCUUACUUUGGGGGAGAGGGGUUCCAGUUUUUAUGACCCACCUAGGGUACAAGGAAUUAUGUUUCUAUGACUUGCUUUGAGGGAGAAAUGAGGGGUGAGAGAUAGGAAGCAGGAAGUCAAAGAGACCAUGGUUCUGAGGUUGCUUCUGAGGUCUUCCAAUGUCCUUUAGUUCAAAGUACUCAGCACACCAAAGUGCUAUACUUUGGGGUAUCAUUUUCUGAGCUGCAGAAUCCCAGAUACAUCACUCUCCUCAGAAGCUCUGGCUCUCCUGGUGCACUGACUGAGACCAAACAAGUGUUCAUGACCUACCCAAGCCUGAGAGAACAGCCCUCCAGAUCCUGGUCCUCCUGCCUUCCACCAUGGGCAAGAACCCCCACCCCACCUCUCCCCAACCCUCCUUGCCUUUUUCUGCUUCCCGCCUUUGCUUGUGCUGGUUCCUUCUCCACCUGUUCCCAUCACCCAUACCCUGUUCCCAUCACCCACUGCCAUUAUCCAGGGCCUAAACAUCUCCCCCAUUAUGAAGCUGCUCUAGAGAGGGUGACGUCGCUUCUCUUAUAGGACUCGUUGGACACAGUCAGGGGCCCUAAUACUGCAUCAGCAGAAAGAUGUGUGAGUGGUUCACAUGACCUUUGACCACUGACUUUACUCACCUAUGGAGGUGGACUUGGGCUUUUGCUUGAGAAUGUGGGUGUGCAUAUGUGGGAAAAUAUGUUUAAAAUGAUCAUGCUUUGGAUGAACGAGGCUGGGUUUACCAGUGUAUUUGCUAAGCACUUGCAGAGGACUCGACUGGGGAGCUUGAAAUAAUACAUAUUCCAGGGCCCUGUCCCUGACCUCAGAACCAGAUUAGAGGAGCAGGGGAGGUGGCAGUAAUCUGUGUUUUUAAUAAGUCCUUCUGUUUGAUCUUCACAUUUGGAAAUGACUACAGUAAGUGAUCUCAGUAUUAAAACUCUUAGAAAGCAAAGAGUUUUCAUGAAGGAAAUAAUCACCUCAUUAUAUAUGUAUUACAAUGGAUAAAUAUAUGGGAUUGGGGAGGAGAAUCUGUAUAUAGGGAGAGAAUUGACUGUUGUUUCAGGCACUGUACCACAGGGUCUUAUUCAUUCCUUACUACUUCCCAUGCAGCAGGUUCUAUAAUCCUUACUUUACAGAUGAGAAAGGGGAGGCUCAGAGAGGGGAAGUAACUGCUGCAUAGUCACACAGCUGGAGAGUGACAAGGUCCAUGUUCAAACCAAGGGCUGAUGCCAAAGUCCAAGCUUGAACCACACUGCAAUGCUGCCCAUUUGUGCACUAUUCCAUCUGCGUAUCCAGCAGCAAAAUACAAUUCUGCUCAGAAUAAUGAACCUAAUGUUCUGAAGGCACCAGAAGGUUGUGGAAGUAUUGACCUAUCUCUAGUUAGCAUCUGCUCACCAGGACCCCUGAGACUGUGGAGGGGGUAACUCAGCAGAAGGACCAGGGCUAACAGGGACUGAAUCCUUACCACAUACCAGGGCCCGUUCCAAACACUUUGCAUGUUUUAAAUUGCUUAAUCCUCACAAUGACCCAGUGGAGGAGAUGAUAGUUUUGUCUCUUCUUCAUAUUAUGAUAGAGGAAAAUGAGGACAGAGAGGCCAAAUGACAGGCCCAUGGUCAACCAGCUAAGAAGUGAAGGGGCAGGACUUGAAUUCAGGCCUCCUGGCCCCAGAGUUUGCAGCACCUGGCAUGUGGCAGUAGUUGAGAAGUUACACUGAGUCUGAGUAGACCUGUAGUUAGUGACCCCCUCCACAGCACAGGGCUGAUGGACAGUGGGCUGGCUUGGGCCAAGAGCAGCUGGCACUGCAGAUCUGUUGGAAUAGCUCUGCCCAGGCUGCCCAGGGCAAGUUGCAGACUGGGAGGCAUAUGUAUCCUAAAAUAGAACUUUUGAGAAAUAAUGUGCAUCCAAAGGAAUGAGUCUCAGACGAGGAUGUUCAAGAAUCAGUAGCAGAUGCUGUGCGGGCCACAGAAUGUUUCUAGGUAAAAUGCCCUCCUCCCCACCCCCCAUGUCCCCCACAACCAACAAACAAGCUAAGAAAAAAGAAACAAAAUAAAAUAAAUUGAAACAAAUUAAUAAACAUGCAAAAACCACACAGACAGUCAUCUCUUCUGUCUGUGGGUAAAACUGACAGCUCUAGAAAUAAACGGAGAUCCAUAUAAAGGGUUUCAAAAUAUGGGAGUAAUUUUUGUUUUUCCAUUUAAUGCUAGGUUUCAAAGGAGGGGAAUAUGUCUAUCACUGCUACAUAGGCAUUCUGUUUAAAACCCACCCAGAUGCCUUAAUGGGGCUCUGUCAAGAGUGGGAAGGUCCCCACAGCUGUUUCUCAAAGCCAGUAGACCACUCAGUGUGGGCAGUGGGGAGCUUGUGCUUGGCAGGCCUCCCACGUCGCCAUCAUUUCUUUUUGAACACUUGACGGCACACCUGGUCACCACAGGUCAGCUCCUGCAACGUCAGAAAGUGGGUGAGGGUCUAACAAGCCAGGCCUUUCUUCUGCCCAGCCCUCAGCCCCCUUGGUAUCUGGGGGUGGGAGGUUGGAAUAAAGAGGACACUUAGGUAUUCUGGGCAAAGUGCAUCUCACAGACCCAAUCAGCGGGCAUGCCCUGCAGGUAGCAGUAAUUUGAUUUUGACACUUGAAUUGAGCUUGAACAACUAUAAAAAUGAAAAAUGCAAAGAAAUGACCCUCUUGGGCAGGAUUUCUCCUACUCCCAUGAUUAAAGUAACAUGACCUAAUUUAUAAAAGGCAGCGAAGCCAUGAGGAAGGAAAGGACCUAGUGUAGAGAAGUGUUUGGAAGGUAGGGGCCUGAAAAGAUGCUGGCCAGUGAGCUGCCCCUCCACCCUGUGGGCUUUCUGGCCUCUGGUGAUUAGAACAUUGGCUGGUGGUGGCGCAGGUACCCGCAGGGUGUGAGGUGCAGAAGGGCUUUCCCAGGCUUGCCUGUGCAGCCGACAAGGUCCCGCUUUUCAUCCAGAUAGAGGGAGCCCAGGCCUUAUUUGACCCUCACUGAUCCUCGAAGGAGGAGGGAAAAACAUGAGUGUGGGAAGGACCACCACAAUCAUUGCAGUUGACUGUGAAUCCAUUGUCUAAGCCACAGAGAGCACUGGGGAUUGUAUUACAAUUAGAAAAAUCCACCAUCCAAACCAGUGCAGGUAGGGAAAGCCAUCAAUGCAAAACACGAUAAAUGCCUCCCAUAUAUCAUUAGCUGACAUUGCCUUCAAAAUAAAG
rnacentral:lncRNA from 10 species